rnacentral:rRNA from 1 species
UACGGAGGGUGCGAGCGUUAAUCGGAAUAACUGGGCGUAAAGGGCACGCAGGCGGUGACUUAAGUGAGGUGUGAAAGCCCCGGGCUUAACCUGGGAAUUGCAUUUCAUACUGGGUCGCUAGAGUACUUUAGGGAGGGGUAGAAUUCCACGUGUAGCGGUGAAAUGCGUAGAGAUGUGGAGGAAUACCGAAGGCGAAGGCAGCCCCUUGGGAAUGUACUGACGCUCAUGUGCGAAAGCGUGGGGAGCAAACAGGAUUAGAUACCCUCCGGCUGACUGACU